rnacentral:rRNA from 1 species
ACGAACGCUGGCGGCGUGCUUAACACAUGCAAGUCGAGCGGUAAGGCCCUUUCGGGGGUACACGAGCGGCGAACGGGUGAGUAACACGUGGGUGACCUGCCCCCAGCUCUGGGAUAAGCCCGGGAAACUGGGUCUAAUACCGGAUAUGACUCCAUGACGCAUGUUGUGGGGUGGAAAGCCUUGUGCGGCUGAGGAUGGGCCCGCGGCCUAUCAGCUUGUUGGUGGGGUGAUGGCCUACCAAGGCGACGACGGGUAGCCGGCCUGAGAGGGCGACCGGCCACACUGGGACUGAGACACGGCCCAGACUCCUACGGGAGGCAGCAGUGGGGAAUCUUGCGCAAUGGGCGAAAGCCUGACGCAUCGACGCCGCGUGAGGGAUGACGGCCUUCGGGUUGUAAACCUCUUUCAGCUCCGACGAAGCGGAAGUGACGGUAGGAGCAAAAGAAGCACCGGCCAACUACGUGCCAGCAGCCGCGGUAAUACGUAGGGUGCAAGCGUUGUCCGGAAUUAUUGGGCGUAAAGAGCUCGUAGGCGGUCUGUCGCGUCGGCUGUGAAAACUCGGGGCUCAACUCCGAGCUUGCAGUCGAUACGGGCAGGCUAGAGUUCGGCAGGGGAGACUGGAAUUCCUGGUGUAGCGGUGAAAUGCGCAGAUAUCAAGAGGAACACCGGUGGCGAAUGCGGGUCUCUGGGCCGAUACUGACGCUGAGGAGCGAAAGCGUGGGGAGCGAACAGGAUUGGAUACCCUGGUAGUCCACGCCGUCAACGUUGGGCGCUAGGUGUGGGAUCCCUUCCACGGGUUCCGUGCCGCAGCUAACGCAUAAGCGCCCCGCCUGGGGAGUACGGCGCAAGGCUAAAACUCAUAUGAAUGACCGAGCA